rnacentral:rRNA from 1 species
AUUGAACGCUGGCGGCAGGCUUAACACAUGCAAGUCGAGCGGGGUGAUGGUGCUUGCACUAUCACUUAGCGGCGGACGGGUGAGUAAUGCUUAGGAAUCUGCCUAUUAGUGGGGGACAACAUCUCGAAAGGGAUGCUAAUACCGCAUACGUCCUACGGGAGAAAGCAGGGGAUCACUUGUGACCUUGUGCUAAUAGAUGAGCCUAAGUCGGAUUAGCUAGUUGGUGGGGUAAAGGCCUACCAAGGGGACGAUCUGUAGCGGGUCUGAGAGGAUGAUCCGCCACACUGGGACUGAGACACGGCCCAGACUCCUACGGGAGGCAGCAGUGGGAAUAUUGGACAAUGGGGGGAACCCUGAUCAGCCAUGCCGCGUGUGUGAAGAAGGCCUUAUGGUUGUAAAGCACUUUAAGCGAGGAGGAGGCUUACCUAGUUAAUACCUGGGAUAAGUGGACGUUACUCGCAGAAUAAGCACCGGCUAACUCUGUGCCAGCAGCCGCCGUAAUAC